GGGGAGGGUGUUGCGCUCUAAAAGUAGUUAUAAAACUUAAAUUUUUCUGAAUUGUGGGGAAAAUCUUUAAAGACUAUUCUUAUUUAAUUGUGUUUUGUUUUUGGACACAUUUCUAGUUAAUUUUUGUAGUUUAUUGGCUCCAGGAGGUCAGAGUUCAGAUGUGUGAUGUCAUCAGUAAGCGCAGAGAAAACAAACAAACAGUGUCUGAGACGUGAGGGAGCGAUGUUUUGCUGAUGAUACGCUAUUCUGCCUGUAAACUCCAAACCUGAACUGAGGAGAAUAAAGUUGCAAGAAAAAGGAGAAUGGAGUCAUGUCUCUCUGAGGGUGCAACAUACAGACAUAAGUCCUGCCCCUUCAGAGAAAGUAAAUGCUAUUUCCUCCUCAUGUCAGAGGGCGGUAGGCUGAUUUCCCUCCUGUGCAUCACAAUCAGCAGCUUUAACAAACUUGUGAGGGCAGCGGGACUUUAACAACUGUGAGCCGGCCCACCGACCUGGUGCAAUCACUCUGCUUUCUGAUGCACAUCAGAGUGUUUUUAACCCUUGUUCCUCCCCCAGUUCAGCGUUCAACAUUGCAAGUGACCAAUCACCUUCUUGUGACGUCAUUCCUUUGCGACUUCGAAAUACCCGCCUUCGAUUAUUUCGAAAUACAAGUGAAGAAGUGAAAAACCGCCGCCUGUCCGCCGAAUUUGAAGUCAAUUCGCCUGUCCGCCGAAUUUGAAGUCAAUUUAGGAUACUUUCCUUUAAUAAACGGUAAGCAUUAUACAUAUGUUCCUCACUUGGCUUGCUGUUUGUUUGCUAGCGAUAGGCUACUUGACAACAGCAUUAGCUAACCAGUGUUCUCUAGACCAGCGUUCCCCAACUUUUUGGGUGUUUCGUGGCCCGGGGGUUGGGUCAGGCAAAAUUGCAGUAGCUUCCCUGAUCAUUUUACAAACAUAAGUGAAGAGAAUCUGGACUAAAAGGCCUAGACUUAUGGUUGUGUGCUGAAUCUAUGAAUCAAACUAUCACCUGGAAACAUAAUUAACUGGUCCAUAGCUGUGAAACUGGACAU
ensembl:lncRNA